CAGUCGAACGAACUCUGGUAUUGAUUGGUGCUUGCAUCAUGAUUUACAUUUGAGUGAGUGGCGAACUGGUGAGUAACACGUGGGAAACCUGCCCAGAAGCGGGGGAUAACACCUGGAAACAGAUGCUAAUACCGCAUAACAACUUGGACCGCAUGGUCCGAGUUUGAAAGAUGGCUUCGGCUAUCACUUUUGGAUGGUCCCGCGGCGUAUUAGCUAGAUGGUGGGGUAACGGCUCACCAUGGCAAUGAUACGUAGCCGACCUGAGAGGGUAAUCGGCCACAUUGGGACUGAGACACGGCCCAAACUCCUACGGGAGGCAGCAGUAGGGAAUCUUCCACAAUGGACGAAAGUCUGAUGGAGCAACGCCGCGUGAGUGAAGAAGGGUUUCGGCUCGUAAAACUCUGUUGUUAAAGAAGAACAUAUCUGAGAGUAACUGUUCAGGUAUUGACGGUAUUUAACCAGAAAGCCACGGCUAACUACGUGCCAGCAGCCGCGGUAAUACGUAGGUGGCAAGCGUUGUCCGGAUUUAUUGGGCGUAAAGCGAGCGCAGGCGGUUUUUUAAGUCUGAUGUGAAAGCCUUCGGCUCAACCGAAGAAGUGCAUCGGAAACUGGGAAACUUGAGUGCAGAAGAGGACAGUGGAACUCCAUGUGUAGCGGUGA
rnacentral:rRNA from 2 species